UUGAGUCGAGGUGUUUGGGAAUGCUGCUCAAAAUGGGAGGUAAACCCCUUCUAAAGCUAAAUACUGGCCAGAGACCGAUAGCGCACAAGUAGAGUGAUCGAAAGAUGAAAAGCACUUUGAAAAGAGAGUUAAAAAGCACGUGAAAUUGUUAAAAGGGAAGCGCUUGCGACCAGACUUGCGCCCGUCGGAUCAACCGUCGCUUGCGGCGGCGCACUCCGGCGGGCUCAGGCCAGCAUCAGUUCGUCCGGGGGGAGAAAGGCGGCGGGAAUGUGGCUCUUCGGAGUGUUAUAGCCCGCCGUGUAAUACCCUCGGGUGGACUGAGGACCGCGCGUAUGCAAGGAUGCUGGCGUAAUGGUCGUCAGCGACCCGUCUUGAAACACGGACCC
rnacentral:rRNA from 1 species